rnacentral:rRNA from 1 species
UACGGGGGGGGCAAGCGUUGUUCGGAAUUACUGGGCGUAAAGGGCUCGUAGGUGGCCAACUAAGUCAGACGUGAAAUCCCCAGGCUUAACCUGGGAACUGCGUCUGAUACUGGAUGGCUUGAAUUCGGGAGAGGGAUGCGGAAUUCCAGGUGUAGCGGUGAAAUGCGUAGAUAUCUGGAGGAACACCGGUGGCGAAGGCGGCAUCCUGGACCGAUACUGACACUGAGGAGCGAAAGCCAGGGGAGCAAACGGG